UCCAUUAUUAUACACAGGCUGCAUCGUAUGCGAAGAAAGGGCGCGUAUGUACAAGCAAACCCUGCAUUAAUGUUUACACCAGGCUACAGGUUGAGGCUGACAAAGUGAGCUUGACAAGUAUCCAGGUGAAGGCAGGUAAAGGCAAUUUCUCCCGCCUACUGUAUCCCCCGAUGUUUCCCAUUAAACACUGCAGUGGACGACUAUAGGUGGCCCUGCUGGAUGGCCCUUCCAUGGAGGGCCCAGGGCCUUGACCGCCUGCUUCUGUUGCCGCUUCACGACACCCAAGAAGUCUAGGAGUGUUCCGGCUGAGCUCGGUACCCCAUAAUCCGGCCAGCUCAGGUACUGGCAGUGGGUCACCUGUCGCUGCUCACAGGUCUGCAAGGGGAAACCAAACCAAGGAAGCUCUUCACUCACACCACAAUAAGACAGGGGAAACCAACAUCCCUAGCAAAGCUCAGGAGUCUCUCUAGUCUGAGCGCUACUUGCAGUGCUGUGGAAGAGUGUGACUGCGUGCAGCGUGACACUCACAGGGCGCAGUUGAAGGUGCCAGGAGGGGCUUCACGGC